CGAAGGAUCCAAGCGUUGUCCGGAUUUACUGGGUUUAAAGGGUGCGUAGGCGGGCUAUUAAGUCAGUGGUGAAAGCUUGCAGCUUAACUGUAAAAUUGCCAUUGAAACUGAUAGCCUCGAAUAUGGUUGAGGUGGUUGGAAUGUAUCAUGUAGCGGUGAAAUGCUUAGAUAUGAUACAGAACACCGAUUGCGAAGGCAGAUCACUAAACCAUUAUUGACGCUGAGGCACGAAAGCGUGGGGAUCAAACAGGAUUAGAUACCCUGGUAGUCCACGCCCUAAACGUUGCAUACUCGGUUUUAGCGAUAUACAGUUAGGACCCAAGCGAAAGCGUUAAGUAUGCCACCUGGGAAGUACGUCCGCAAGGAUG
rnacentral:rRNA from 1 species